rnacentral:rRNA from 1 species
UUGCGGGCUUUAUAUAUUGAAGUCAGCUCCCCUAAAAUGAAUUAGUAGUAUCUGAGCAGAGAAAGUACUACAGGUGUGAUAAAUUAUUUAUGCCUCUAGUUAUGCUGCCUGAAACAGAUUGUGCUGCUUCUAAAAAAUAUUUAAUUGAUGAAUUUGACCUCAAAUCAGGUAGGACUACCCGCUGAACUUAAGCAUAUCAAUAAGCGGAGGAAAAGAAACUAACAAGGAUUCCCCUAGUAACUGCGAGUGAAGCGGGAAAAGCUCAAAUUUGAAAUCUGGCAGUUCUUGACUGUCCGAGUUGUAAUCUAGAGAAGUGUUACAGAUGCUC